UGUUAUUCUGGGAGAACACAACAAAAAUACUGAUAUCGACUGUAACGUCUUUAAAGGUCCCGGUGGAGAAAAAAUUGAACGAGAAUGUGCUGAUCUGGUGCAACGGUACGAAGUGGAAUCCUUUGUCUAUCAUCCAAACUUUUACUACCCGCAAUUAACCAACGACAUUGGACUGAUUCGUCUAGCCACAGAAGUGAGCUGAGAGUACAACAUCCAGCCAAUCUGUCUUCCGGUGACGCCACAACUUCGCGUGAGACUUUUCAAGGAAUUCAUCGUCACGUGGUGGGGUUUAAACGAAUUCUAUCAAUCGCAUCAAGUCCUUCAGGAAGCGGUUCUUCCCUUGGCCAGCAAUGCCAAUUGUCAGCAGCGAUUGAGCAUUAAACUGACGGAGAGGCAGCUUUGUGCUGGAGGUGAGCUUCAAGUACAAAGGGGAUUUCGAGACAUAGGCGGUCCACUGGGUUACGCCACCAACUACAACGGAGCCAUGCGUUUUGUGCACGAUUUUCACCCGCGUGGCCAGUUACAUGGACUGGAUACUGGAGAACAUUUUACCUUAAGAAUCUUCGACAUAGUCUUGCGGACUACCGGUUAAACUACUUUAUCUAGUAAAACAAAUAAGCAAUAAAUACCUGCUCCAAAAAGUGCUUCGA